CACAAGCGGUGGAGCAUUGUGGUUUAAUUCGAAGCAACGCGAAGAACCUUACCAGGUCUUGACAUCCUUUUGAAUGGUCUAGAGAUAGAUCAGGCCUUCGGGACAGAAGAGACAGGUGGUGCAUGGUUGUCGUCAGCUCGUGUCGUGAGAUGUUGGGUUAAGUCCCGCAACGAGCGCAACCCUUAUCAUUAGUUGCUAACAUUCAGUUGAGAACUCUAAUGAGACUGCCAGUGAUAAACUGGAGGAAGGUGGGAUGACGUCAAAUCAUCAUGCCCCUUAUGACCUGGGCUACACACGUGCUACAAUGGCCGGUACAAAGAGUUGCGAAACUGUGAAGUUAAGCUAAUCUCAUAAAGCCGGUCUCAGUUCGGAUUGUAGUCUGCAACUCGACUACAUGAAGUCGGAAUCGCUAGUAAUCGCGAAUCAGAAUGUCGCGGUGAAUACGUUCUCGAGUCUU
rnacentral:rRNA from 1 species